UACAGAGGGUGCAAGCGUUGUUCGGAAUUAUUGGGCGUAAAGGGCGCGUAGGCGGUGCGGUAAGUCUUUUGUGAAAUCUCCGGGCUCAACUCGGAGUCUGCAUGAGAAACUGCCGGGCUUGAGUAUGGGAGAGGUGAGUGGAAUUCCUGGUGUAGCGGUGAAAUGCGUAGAUAUCAGGAGGAACACCUGUGGCGAAAGCGGCUCACUGGACCAUAACUGACGCUGAUGCACGAAAGCUAGGGGAGCAAACAGG
rnacentral:rRNA from 1 species